rnacentral:tRNA from 4 species
CGGGGCGUAGCGCAGUUUGGUAGCGCGCCUGCUUUGGGAGCAGGAUGUCGCAGGUUCAAAUCCUGUCGCCCCGA